GCUAUAACGAUACGAGUUACAACGUGGAGUAUACACGAUACCAGUUUAGUCUACCUGCAGCCGCUUUAAUAAAAUAGGCUAAUGUCAAUGUACAUCUAAACCACAGCGUUAUGUAAGCGUUUCUCACAACAUGUUGCUGGACAAGAUGUACUGGAAUUGUUAUUUGCAUAAUUUUGAUUAAGAUGUUCAUCUCGCUAGCUGAUUAAAGGAAGCGCGGCAGUCGUGCCAUAUAUUAUCUACCAACGUGCCGGCGUACGUUAUGUUUUGGCUGCUCGAACGCGGCAUAUGUAAUACCUACAAGCGGUUGCGCAGUCGACUUUUUAGAUUAUAGUUGCAUUUUAAUUUGGCACCACGGAAUGGACGACCCUGGUAAAGUAGGAUUUACUUUCCCAUGGGUAAGCCGAACAAAGCUGCUUUAUGGAACCCUCAAAUACUGGGAACAUUUGACCGCCAGCGAUCGCCCACCGUUUCCGUCGCAUUCCUGCACUGCUGUCGAGGGACGACUGUUUGAUAAUCAGCUGGAAGAAUGGUCAGAAGAUCAAAGAUGGACCGAUUUCGUCUCACUAUCCGUUCAAGAGAACAUGGAUGAUGUACAAAAAGGACAACAGGAAGCUAUUUGGGAAUUAAUUUCCACAGAAAGGCGUUACAUUGAACGGUUGGAAAUUCUUCGAGACUUUUGGCGACCGGCACUAGAAGAGGUCUAUCGUCGCCAUGAUUUUGUCAUAACGCCGGCUGAUUUGGAUAAAAUUUUUGGAUGCCUAUCGGAUGUGUACACAGCACAGAAGCGAUUAUGGCACGAGUGUUUCAGCGCCAUUUUGGCACAAACCAAAAGCACCGGAUUGCCGCUAAAUCCUGGACUGUUAAAAAAUGGAUUUCUUAAUAUGAAAACCUACUUUACUCCAUACGUGAAAUACUGCUCGGAAUUCCACCAAGCAGACAACCACUUGAAAAAGCUCAUCCAAGCAAAUGAAUACCUGGGAAUAGUUUUGGAGUGGUGCAAAGAACAACCGCAAAGCGAGCGACAGCCUUUGAACAACUGGCUGUUUGUACCGGUGAAUCGCAUAACAAAAUAUUCCCUGCUUUUGUCGGCGAUAUUGAAAAAGACGGCAGACGAACAUCAUCGGCAGAUCUUACGGAAACUCAUCUCCAAAAUCGAUCAGUUUGUCAAAGCUAUCAACCGUGAAACAUGGGAAAUUCAGGAGAAAGAAAAACUGGAUGCAGUGUCUGAGCGAAUUAUCAUGUAUGAUAUUUUCGUAUCACCCAGCGAAGAAAUAUCUGAGGUGCUGAAAAAAUACGUUUCAACAAAUUUUCUGAAUAAAUUCCAACAAUCAGCCACUUCGCGCCGCUUGUUUCUGCGCGAACUGAAGAAUAUUCGUGUGGAGAAUCUGGAUGAUACCGGCAAAUGGAUUGGCACGCACUUGAUUCUAUUCUCGGAUAUUAUGCUGGUGUGCCGACAGAUCAGAAUCAAUGGCGUUCGCCGCCUGAAGAUUACACGACCAGUGAUACAAUUAAGUCAACUGCAGAUGCAUCCCUUACGAAAGCCGGGUUCAUAUUUAAUGGUCAUCACAGAUCCGGCACUGGAUAUCGCUUAUGAUGGAUUUGUCGUGUCACCAACUGGCAAAGCAGAUGUCGUGAUCAAUUUCAUCGAAGACACCACAAAGGCUAAAAAAGCGGUGAUCGAAGGAGCUACAGUGCUGUUAGACACCGUUUCCGAUCGGAUAAUUGCCGGUGCAACACAGGAAUUUCCCAAUGAUGACGACGUGGAAGAGGAGGAUCCCCCAGAAAUCGGGCAACGGCUGGCGUCGAAAGCAGAAACGCCGGAUGAGAAAGGUCAACAAAUCGGCGACCCGACCCCGGUGCAGCUGCCAAAUGGUUAUUCUAACCCGAUUUUACCGCAUGAUAGUGAUCUUUCUGUAAUAAAUGCGCCGGAAACCCCUCCCGAUGACGAUCAAGCGAAAAUCGGCGACGUCGAAACUAUGGAAAGUAAUACCGACACAGUCGAGCCUAAAACCGAUCGACCAUCAGUCAACCCCAAAUUAAUUAAAGUCCGAUCAAUAACCAUCGACGGCAGCCUCCUGGAUUCUCCCACUGAAACCACGCCCAAUCUGUCUCCCCGCACACCGAUUUUCACUCCAAAAUUUCAGUCCCAGGAAGACGUUUCGCUGCUUUCCAUCCCGAAUUCGCCAGCAAUCAAUCGCUUCUCAUCCAACCGAAAUUCACAAGACCUUAACAACCAACCGAAGACCAGUUUUUUCGAUAUGUUCCGCAUGAAAAAGCGACACUCCGAUAUUCCCGUGCAAAGUAAACCGAACGAUCCGCCUACAGUGUUACCGCCCGGGCUGGCCAGAAACGAUACCAUGAAGUUGGCCAGGACAGCGGCAAUCCGAGAAAAGAAAAAAGCCUACAGGAAAAGCAAGUCGAAAACGGUUGAACUCAAUAAAUCUCCUAGAGGAUCGGCGGUUUUCUACGAUGCACAACGUCGCCGCUCCUUACCCCAGGUGGAACCUCUGCUUCCCGGAAAGAGUGAUUCCAGUUCGGAGAGUUCAACAAAUGUUUCGCGAAACGAAAGCAUAAACAAACAAAAUGUCAAUGCAGAUGAGUUGCCCAAUAAAGCCACGUCAAAAAAUUUGGAUAUUCCCGAACGACCUUUAUCCCAGAACAGCUCCAGUGGAGUGGAAACGCUCAGUCGGCCUGAAACACCCACCCAGGACGCUAUCGACACUCCCGAUGCUUUCUCCUCCCCGCUACCGUCCCCGUCAACCAGCGUAAUCGAAACCGAUGGGUCCACAGUAUUUCUAACCGAUGCAACACUCGCCGAAUCCAGCUCGGACAAAGCUGAAAGUACAGACACCGCCAUCGAAUAUACCCUGCAAAUUCCCACAAUACGCCUACACUUACCGAUAUCGGAAUCGGCGGAUUACGUGGACGAGAUAGACGAUACCGAUGAUACCGAACAAGUAGUAGAUAUUCAUGAUAACGAUGAAUUACAGUUCGCUAAUUUCAUCCUGGAUAAGGAAAGAAUGAAUUUGUCCGAUGAAGAAUGGGAGGUCACACGCGUCUGACCGUGCUUAGUGGUUGCAUUUCGUAAACGGCAGUAUGGGCACAAAUCUUCAACGGAAAAUUUCAUCUCCUUUGAAUCAACAUGUCCGCGAAACCGAGUUCCACAACGACAGCACUAAAACAAUCAUACAAGAUGCAUACUAUUUCUCUUGGCAACUCAACUUAUAUCGCCACUCUCACCUUUUUGACAAAUGGAUAAUUUUCCACUUUUUCUUUAUAUCUUUUUGUACUCUUCAAAUCAUCCAUCAACCACAAUCUCCCAGUGCCAUCACUGCACACCGUAAUCAAACAAUUCCCGCUCGGGCUAAAGGCGCAAUCCUUGAUCAUCGCAUCGGCAUGCGACAACAGAUCAAACAGUCCUUCAUUCCGGUCGGCGUCCCACACCGACACAUGUCCAUCAGUCGAGCCACAUGCAAACCACCGCGACUCCAGACUGGACCAGUCACAGCAAGUAAAACACGCCGGUCUGUCGAUUAACGGCGACAAUCUUUCCGGAUUAUCCCGAUAUUCACCCGUGCUGACGUCAUAAACGUAGACGCGGGAAUUCAUGGCACUGGUCAGCAGUUUGCGGCCAUCCCGACACCACGACAAAUCUGUCACUAUAACGCUAUCAUCGUGCAG